UACGUAGGGUGCAAGCGUUGUCCGGAAUUAUUGGGCGUAAAGCGCGCGCAGGCGGCCCUUUAAGUCUGUCGGUCAAAUGCCGGGGCUCAACCCCGAUGCAUGCCGAGGAUACUGGAGGGCUGGAGACACGUAGAGGCAAGCGGAAUUCCGGGUGUAGCGGUGGAAUGCGUAGAGAUCCGGAAGAACACCGGAGGCGAAGGCGGCUUGCUGGGCGUGAUCUGACGCUGAGACGCGAAAGCUAGGGGAGCGAACAGG
rnacentral:rRNA from 1 species